rnacentral:rRNA from 1 species
AUGAACGCUAGCUACAGGCUUAACACAUGCAAGUCGAGGGGCAUCAGGGUGUAGCAAUACACCGCUGGCGACCGGCGCACGGGUGAGUAACACGUAUCCAACCUGCCCUUUACUCGGGGAUAGCCUUUCGAAAGAAAGAUUAAUACCCGAUGGCAUAACAUGACCUCCUGGUUUUGUUAUUAAAGAAUUUCGGUAGAGGAUGGGGAUGCGUUCCAUUAGGCAGUUGGCGGGGUAACGGCCCACCAAACCUUCGAUGGAUAGGGGUUCUGAGAGGAAGGUCCCCCACAUUGGAACUGAGACACGGUCCAAACUCCUACGGGAGGCAGCAGUGAGGAAUAUUGGUCAAUGGGCGAGAGCCUGAACCAGCCAAGUAGCGUGAAGGAUGACCGCCCUAUGGGUUGUAAACUUCUUUUAUAUGGGAAUAAAGGGUGCCACGUGUGGCAUUUUGUAUGUACCAUAUGAAUAAGGAUCGGCUAACUCCGUGCCAGCAGCCGCGGUAAUACGGAGGAUCCGAGCGUUAUCCGGAUUUAUUGGGUUUAAAGGGAGCGUAGGUGGACAUGUAAGUCAGUUGUGAAAGUUUGCGGCUCAACCGUAAAAUUGCAGUUGAUACUGCGUGUCUUGAGUACAGUAGAGGUGGGCGGAAUUCGUGGUGUAGCGGUGAAAUGCUUAGAUAUCACGAAGAACUCCGAUUGCGAAGGCAGCUCACUGGACUGCAACUGACACUGAUGCUCGAAAGUGUGGGUAUCAAACAGGAUUAGAUACCCUGGUAGUCCACACAGUAAACGAUGAAUACUCGCUGUUUGCGAUAUACAGUAAGCGGCCAAGCGAAAGCAUUAAGUAUUCCACCUGGGGAGUACGCCGGCAACGGUGAAACUCAAAGGAAUUGACGGGGGCCCGCACAAGCGGAGGAACAUGUGGUUUAAUUCGAUGAUACGCGAGGAACCUUACCCGGGCUUGAACUGCAGUGGAAUUAUCCGGAAACGGAUAAGCGAGCAAUCGCCGCUGUGGAGGUGCUGCAUGGUUGUCGUCAGCUCGUGCCGUGAGGUGUCGGCUUAAGUGCCAUAACGAGCGCAACCCUUAUCUUCAGUUACUAACAGGUCAUGCUGAGGACUCUGGAGAGACUGCCGUCGUAAGAUGUGAGGAAGGUGGGGAUGACGUCAAAUCAGCACGGCCCUUACGUCCGGGGCUACACACGUGUUACAAUGGGGGGUACAGAAGGCCGCUACACAGCGAUGUGAUGCCAAUCCCUAAAGCCCCUCUCAGUUCGGAUCGAAGUCUGCAACCCGACUUCGUGAAGCUGGAUUCGCUAGUAAUCGCGCAUCAGCCACGGCGCGGUGAAUACGUUCCCGGGCCUUGUACACACCGCCCGUCAAGCCAUGGGAGCCGGGGGUACCUGAAGUACGUAACCGCAAGGAGCGUCCUAGGGUAAAACUGGUGACUGGGGCU